GGCCUGAUGGUCUAGUAGUAUGAUUCCUUGUUAGGGCUUAUGUAUUACAUUACAUAAUCAAUCGAGGAGGUCCUGGGUUCAAUUCCCAGUCAGGCCC